AACGCACAUUGCGCCCUGUGGUAUUCCGCAGGGCAUGCCUGUUCGAGCGUCAUUUCAACCCUCAAGCUCUGCUUGGUGUUGGGCCACGCCCUCGCGGCCGGCCCCAAAGCCAGUGGCGGCGCCGUCCGGCUCUAAGCGUAGUACAUCUCUCGCUCUAGGGCCCGGCGGCUGCCUGCCAGAACCCCAAACUCUUAUGGUUGACCUCGGAUCAGGUAGGGAUACCCGCUGAACUUAA
rnacentral:misc_RNA from 2 species